rnacentral:rRNA from 1 species
UACGUAGGGGGGCAAGCGUUGUCCGGAAUCAUUGGGCGUAAAGAGCGUGUAGGCGGUCCGGUCAGUCGGUUGUGAAAGUCAAGGGCUCAACCCUUGAAUGCCGGCCGAUACUGCCGGGCUAGAGUCCGGAAGAGGUUAGUGGAACUGCGAGUGUAGAGGUGAAAAUUCGUAGAUAUUCGCAAGAACACCAGUGGCGAAGGCGGCUAACUGGUCCGGUUCUGACGCUGAGGCGCGAAAAGCGUGGGGGGAGCAAAACAGG